GGCGGAGGUGGAGGAGGAGGCGGAGGAGGUGGUGGUGGUGGUGGCCACUAUCCGUGGUGGUGGUGAAGACUGGCACAUUUUAUGAUAUUCAUCAUCAACUUCAGGGUCAAGUUCAAGCCCUACUUAAUCUGAUUUUGUCUAAAUCUUACAAACAGAAGAUUAUAAUAAUAAAAUUGAUAAGUAAAGAUGCUUUUAAAAACA